rnacentral:rRNA from 1 species
GACAGAGGGUGCGAACGUUGUUCGGAAUUACUGGGCGUAAAGCGAGUGUAGGCGGUUUGGUUAGUCGGAUGUGAAAGCCCCGGGCUCAACCCGGGAAGUGCAUUCGAUACUGCCAAGCUAGAGUAUCGGAGAGGUUGGUGGAAUUCUCGGUGUAGAGGUGAAAUUCGUAGAUAUCGAGAGGAACACCGGCGGCGAAGGCGGCCAACUGGACGAAUACUGACGCUGAGACUCGAAAGCGUGGGGAGCAAACAGG